rnacentral:rRNA from 1 species
GACGAACGCUGGCGGCGUGCUUAACACAUGCAAGUCGAACGAAGAGCGAUGGAAGCUUGCUCUAUCAAUCUUAGUGGCGAACGGGUGAGUAACGCGUAAUCAACCUGCCCUUCAGAGGGGGACAACAGUUGGAAACGACUGCUAAUACCGCAUACGAUCUAAUCUCGGCAUCGAGGAUAGAUGAAAGGUGGCCUCUACAUGUAAGCUAUCACUGAAGGAGGGGAUUGCGUCUGAUUAGCUAGUUGGAGGGGUAACGG